AUGGCGACCGGCGCACGGGUGAGUAACACGUAUCCAACCUGCCGAUAACUCGGGGAUAGCCUUUCGAAAGAAAGAUUAAUACCCGAUGGUAUAAUCAGACCGCAUGGUUUGAUUAUUAAAGAAUUUCGGUUAUCGAUGGGGAUGCGUUCCAUUAGGCAGUUGGUGAGGCAACGGCUCACCAAACCUUCGAUGGAUAGGGGUUCUGAGAGGAAGGUCCCCCACAUUGGAACUGAGACACGGUCCAA
rnacentral:rRNA from 1 species